rnacentral:rRNA from 1 species
AUUGAACGCUGGCGGCAGGCUUAACACAUGCAAAUUGAGCGGAGAUGAGGUGCUUGCACCUUAUCUUAGCGGCGGACGGGUGAGUAAUGCUUAGGAAUCUGCCUAUUAGUGGGGGACAACAUUCCGAAAGGAAUGCUAAUACCGCAUACGCCCUACGGGGGAAAGCGGGGGAUCUUCGGACCUCGCGCUAUCGGAGGAGCCUGCGUCGGAUUAGCCAGUUGGUAGGGUAAAGGCCUACCAAGGCGACGAUCCGUAGCUGGUCUGAGAGGAUGAUCAGCCACACCGGAACUGAGACACGGUCCGGACUCCUACGGGAGGCAGCAGUGGGGAAUAUUGCGCAAUGGGGGCAACCCUGACGCAGCCAUGCCGCGUGUGUGAAGAAGGCCUUCGGGUUGUAAAGCACUUUCAGAGGGGAGGAAAGGGCGCUGGCUAAUAUCCAGUGCAGUUGACGCUACCCUCAGAAGAAGCACCGGCUAAUUCCGUGCCAGCAGCCGCAGUAACAC